GACGAACGCUGGCGGCGUGCCUAAUACAUGCAAGUAGAACGCACAGUUUAUACCGUAGCUUGCUACACCAUAGACUGUGAGUUGCGAACGGGUGAGUAACGCGUAGGUAACCUGCCUGGUAGCGGGGAUAACUAUUGGAAACGAUAGCUAAUACCGCAUAAUAUUACUUAUUGCAUGAUAAUUAAUUGAAAGGUGCAAUUGCACCACUACCAGAUGGACCUGCGUUGUAUUAGCUAGUAGGUGAGGUAACGGCUCACCUAGGCGACGAUACAUAGCCGACCUGGGAGGGUGAUCGGCCACACUGGGACUGAGACACGGCCCAGACUCCUACGGGAGGCAGCAGUAGGGAAUCUUCGGCAAUGGACGAAAGUCUGACCGAGCAACGCCGCGUGAGUGAAGAAGGUUUUCGGAUCGUAAAGCUCUGUUGUAAGAGAAGAACGGGUGUGAGAGUGGAAAGUUCACACUGUGACGGUAUCUUACCAGAAAGGGACGGCUAACUACGUG
rnacentral:rRNA from 1 species